rnacentral:lncRNA from 1 species
GAAAUUUUCGCAUAACACAAGGUGUCGUGCGAAAUUUGCAUUUCCUCUUUAAAGGCCGUGUUCUUCUCUUCCCAUGCUCAAUUUCUUCUUCAUUUCUCAUAGCACCGCUCUUCCAAUCACCAAAUCCUUUCCUUAAGUUUCUUUUCUUCAUCAUUCCCCCACUCUCAACACCACCAUGGCAGCCCAUCUCCAUAACUCCACCCCAUAGCCGCGGCAAUCACUAUUCAUCACCGUCCACCCCUUCAAUUUUCAGCUCUUUCCACCAUAAAAAACCUUCCAAUUCUUCACUCAACACUCUAAAUCCAUCCCUCAACCAAUUUUAGCCUUGUAUUUACCAAGCCAAAGCCUCAAGCUAAGGAUUCAAGCCACCUUUUCUUCAAUAGGAAACCCAUUGCCGCCGGGUAGAGGAGCUCUAAAUUUCAAAUUUUGUUUGUGAAAAAACUCCAAUUUCCAAGCCUAUUCACCAUGAAAAAUCCUUUUCCUACCUUAGCCAGCAGAUCCCACCCUCAAAAGCUAAAAAUUUUC